rnacentral:rRNA from 1 species
GAUGAACGCUGGCGGCGUGCCUAAUACUUGCAAGUCGAGCGAACAGACGAGGAGCUUGCUCCUCUGACGUUAGCGGCGGACGGGUGAGUAACACGUGGAUAACCUACCUAUAAGACUGGGAUAACUUCGGGAAACCGGAGCUAAUACCGGAUAAUAUAUUGAACCGCAUUGUUCAAUAGUGAAAGACGGUUUUGCUGUCACUUAUAGAUGGAUCCGCGCCGCAUUAGCUAGUUGGUAAGGUAACGGCUUACCAAGGCGACGAUGCGUAGCCGACCUGAGAGGGUGAUCGGCCACACUGGAACUGAGACACGGUCCAGACUCCUACGGGAGGCAGCAGUAGGGAAUCUUCCGCAAAGGGCGAAAGCCUGACGGAGCAACGCCGCGUGAGUGAUGAAGGUCUUCGGAUCGUAAAACUCUGUUAUUAGGGAAGAACAAAUGUGUAAGUAACUAUGCACGUCUUGACGGUACCUAAUCAGAAAGCCACGGCUAACUACGUG